UACAUGAGUGGCAAGCGUUAUCCGUAAUAAUUGGGCGUAAAGGGUGUGUAGGCUGUAAAAGAAGUUAUAAUUUACUAUAACGGAAUACCGGGUAAAAUUAUAAAACCUUUUUACUGGAGUUUAAUAGAUGUAAAUUACAUUUAUAAGCUAGUGAUAAAAUACUGGGAGUUUGUAAGUAGAUCCAAUGGUGCAAACAAUUUACAAUUUUAAACUGACGCUGAUACACGAAAGCUUGGGUAUCGAAAAGGAUUAGACACCCUAUUAGUCCAAGCCUUAAACUAUGAGUAUUAAACAAUAUGUUUAAGUUAACGCGUAAAUACUCCGCCUGGGCAGUACAGUCGCAAGGUUGAAACUUAACAGAAUUGGCGGGAAUUUGUUCAAACGGUGGAACAUGUGGUUUAAUGCGAUAAUCCGCGCAAAAUCUUACCAAGGUGAUCUAUAAUUAUACUUUUAUGGUUAACGUUAUAAAAGUGGUUAUAUGUGAGGUACUGCAUGGCUGUCGUCAGUUCGUGCUGUGAGGUGUAGAAUUAAGUUUCAUAACGAACAAACUCCCUUUAGUAGUUUUAAUUUUUGUAUUUUAUAUUGUGUUAAAAUUCGUAAUUCCAAUUCGUGUUUUAAAAAAUAUUGAUACAAAUUUUUUCUACUAUAUGCUUUUAUUUUAUAUUUUUAUUAAAAUAAUGAGGGAAGAAAGGACUGAAGUCAAGUCAUUAUGGUCCGUGUAUUUUGGGCUACACACGUGUUACAUAGGUAAAAACAAAGGGUUGCAAAAAAGAAAUUUGUAGCAAAUCUCUAAAAAUUACCUCUGUUCAGAUUGUCCACUGAAACUCGUGGGCAUGAAGAUGAAAUCGUUAGUAAUCGUAAAUUAGUAUGUUACGGUGAAUGACAAACCAAAUUUUGCACACACCGCCCAUCACGCUCUAAGAGUUGAUCUUUAAUUAGUAGCUCUAUAGGAAAUUGUUAUCUAAAUCGAUUUUAUCGUAUAUUUAUAAUAAAAUUUAUAUGUUGAAACCGUAAUUUAUUUUAUCGGUUAUUAUCGAUUGGGCUACGAAAACUGAUCAGUUAUUUGAGUGAAGUUG
rnacentral:rRNA from 1 species